ACUCCUACGGGAGGCAGCAGUGGGGAAUUUUGCGCAAUGGGGGAAACCCUGACGCAGCGACGCCGCGUGAAGGACGAAGGUCUUCGGAUUGUAAACUUCUUUUAUAAGGGAAGAUAAUGACGGUACCUUAUGAAUAAGCCACGGCUAACUCUGUGCCAGCAGCCGCGGUAAGACAGAGGUGGCAAGCGUUGUUCGGAAUUACUGGGCUUAAAGGGCGUGUAGGCGGCAUAGUAAGUCCGGUGUGGAAUCCCAGGGCUCAACCCUGGAACUGCAUUGGAAACUACUGUACUUGAGUCAGCGAGGGGAGGGCGGAAUUCCUGGUGUAGCAGUGAUAUGCGUAGAUAUCAGGAGGAAGGCCGGUGGCGAAGGCGGCCCUCUGGCGCUUGACUGACGCUGAGACGCGAAAGCGUGGGGAGCAAACAGGAUUAGAAACCCGAGUAGUCC
rnacentral:rRNA from 1 species